GCCGAAGUGGUGAAAUUGGUAGACACGACGGACUCAAAAUCCGUUAGGCUUUGCCUGUGAGGGUUCGAGUCCCUCCUUCGGCACCA
rnacentral:tRNA from 1 species